AGAAACAUGGAUCAGCUGCCUCCCGCAUCAGGGCCUGGCCCGCGACCCAGGCAUGUGCCCUGACAGCGAACCGAACCACUGACCCUUCAGUUUGUGGGAUGAUGCCCAGACCACUGAGCCACACUGGUCAGGACAAAGGCAGAGAGUUUUAAUCCAGUUGACCUUAAGAUCCCCAACAUCGGUUUAUGCCUCUGAACUGGAAGAAAGGCCAAUUCUAGUCUUGAUGAAUCUGGCUGCUAUCAAUUCCAAAAUGGUAUUUAAAGAGCUUUUAAUCUGAGAUCUUGGUAACUUUGAUCAUUUUUUGUUCCAAUAAUUUCUUUUGGCUUACUACGGAAAAGUCAAAAGCAAAAACAAACAAAACUGUACAAAACCAACCCACUGAAAUUUUAGCUUCACUACUCUAAAAUGCAAUUAAACACUCUUCAAAGCAGGGUAGGCCUGUCUCAAACACUUUGGGGAGCUGGCUCAGGGCAAAACACAAGUGGAGCCCCCAGACCUGGGCCAGCCCUUCUUCUCUGCCAUAGUUCCUUCCUGCACCACAAUAGGUCUUUCAUGCAGCUGUGUGGACAUCCCAACUCACUAGUCCAAACAUGUGAUCAAACCCCAUGCAAAUAGCAGCCUGUUGGCUUCCCCUACAUACGCAGGGGUAGGCACACCAUACCGCUGCUGGAAAGAAUCUCAGGACUGUUUGGGGAAGAAACUCUGGGGUGCUGCCUACCUCAAAUAUGGUCCAGAGAGCAAGACCCAAAUGUGUGCAUCCACCGAGCCCACAGAGCCAGAGGUGCCAAGGAAAGUUGCCCAGGUGUAAGGGCAGCACUGACUCAAGAUAAAGAGAAUGUUCUUGUCAGGUCUACAGCUCCUACAGCUACAGAGAAAGUGCAGUUAUGUAUAAGGUAAACGUUCUGGGCAGACAGUUAGUGGGUUCGGAAGACAGGAGCUCCUUGCCAGUGAAAUAAAGCAAAUGUCAACAAGCCAGACACACUUGAAACAUUCAGAAAAAUGUCUUGCUAUUCCUCUCUAUAUUUAAUAUGCCAUAUGACACCACAGUUAAAUCUGCUGCUGCAAAAAAAAGUACACCAAGCUGUUGGUUUCCAUGAGAUUUGGACAGAGGAGAAACAACGCAGCAGAAAGGAACAGGGAAAGGCACAGCUUUUACUUUUCCUUCUGAGGAGGAAAUGACUCCCUACGGCUGGCUAGCUGACCGGGAGUUAGCGCUCACCCUGCCCGGAGCGGAGACCUGGAGCACACCCAGAUGGAGCCCAACAUGCAGCCUCUGGUAAUUAUUAAUGGGAACGGGAAACUAGAACAAACAGUCACAAGUUACACAAAUGCAACGACCAUGCCCUCUGCAUUUGUCUGUCCUGUGGGUGCUUCCUACGGCUCUUUCUAUAACGAUCCGGUCUUUUCUUUCACUCUCUCCUCCACACCAUCAACAGGCAUGCAAAUCUCCUCGGAUUCUGAUCUCACCCCAGCGAAAGGCAAGGACUACCACCAUACUGAGUUUCACAAUAAAAUCUCACAAUGCCAA